rnacentral:rRNA from 1 species
UACGUAGGGUGCAAGCGUUAAUCGGAAUUACUGGGCGUAAAGCGUGCGCAGGCGGUGAUGUAAGACAGAUGUGAAAUCCCCGGGCUCAACCUGGGAACUGCAUUUGUGACUGCAUCGCUGGAGUACGGCAGAGGGGGAUGGAAUUCCGCGUGUAGCAGUGAAAUGCGUAGAGAUGUGGAGGAAUACCGAUGGCGAAGGCAGCCCCCUGGGAUAACACUGACGCUCAUGCACGAAAGCGUGGGGAGCAAACAGG